rnacentral:rRNA from 1 species
GAACGACCUCAAAUCAGGUAGGACUACCCGCUGAACUUAAGCAUAUCAAUA